rnacentral:rRNA from 1 species
UACAGAGGUCUCAAGCGUUGUUCGGAUUCAUUGGGCGUAAAGGGUGCGUAGGCGGUCGGGUAAGUCUGGCGUGAAAUCUCCAAGCCUAACUUGGAAACUGCGUUGGAUACUAUCCGGCUCGAGGAAUGGAGGGGAGACUGGAAUACUUGGUGUAGCAGUGAAAUGCGUAGAUAUCAAGUGGAACACCAGUGGCGAAGGCGAGUCUCUGGACAUUUCCUGACGCUGAGGCACGAAAGCCAGGGGAGCAAACGGG